rnacentral:rRNA from 1 species
UAGAUACCCUGGUAGUCCACGCUGUAAACGAUGGAUACUAGCUGUUUGGAGCAAUCUGAGUGGCUAAGCGAAAGUGAUAAGUAUCCCACCUGGGGAGUACGUUCGCAAGAAUGAAACUCAAAGGAAUUGACGGGGGCCCGCACAAGCGGUGGAGCAUGUGGUUUAAUUCGAUGAUACGCGAGGAACCUUACCAAGGUUUAAAUGGAGACUGACAGGGGUAGAGAUACCUUUUUCUUCGGACAGUUUUCAA